ensembl:miRNA gga-mir-1459 gga-mir-1459
UCUAUCCUGUGAUGUUCUAUAACUGAGGUUUUGAAUGGCAGCUUUUGACAUGUCAAGCCAGGAAAUGUAGAGGAAGUCACCAGAG